rnacentral:tRNA from 2 species
GAUGUUGCGCCGGACGAACGGAUAACUUUGAUGACGUUAAAUAUGAGGACCUCCUCCGACAUCU